rnacentral:rRNA from 1 species
GACGAACGCUGGCGGCGUGCUUAACACAUGCAAGUCGAACGGAAAGGCCCCUUUGGGGGUACUCGAGUGGCGAACGGGUGCGUAACACGUGAGUAACCUGCCCUUGACUUCGGGAUAACUUCAGGAAACUGGGGCUAAUACCGGAUAGGAAUCCUUGCUGCAUGGUGGGGGUUGGAAAGCUUCGGCGGUUUUGGAUGGACUCGCGGCUUAUCAGCUUGUUGGUGGGGUUGUGGCUUACCAAGGCUUGGACGGGUAGCCGGCCUGAGAGGGCGACCGGCCACAUUGGGACUGAGAUACGGCCCAGACUCCGACGCGAGGGAGCAGUGGGGAAUAUUGCACAAUGGGCGGCAGCCUGAUGAAGCAACGCCUCGUGCGGGAUGACGGUCUUCGGGUUGUAAACCGCUUUCAGCAGGGGCGAAGCUUGUGGUGACGGUACCUGCAGAAGAAGCACCGGCUAACUACGUG